rnacentral:ncRNA from 1 species
CGGCUCGCCCUAGCGCGGGGGUGUAGAAGCUCCCAAGCGUUUGGCUGUUCGCCAAUUAAAAGGGCACGUGAGCUGG